AUUCCAUGAUGAGGGCAAUUCUUGAUCAUCAUGUUGAAACGCUCAAAGGCUUCAUGAAACAUUUCUCCUUGUUGUUGUUGAAAACUCCUCAACCCCUUUCUUGCAUU
rfam:Helianthus annuus linkage group 3, whole genome shotgun sequence.